rnacentral:misc_RNA from 1 species
GUCGUAACAAGGUUUCCGUAGGUGAACCUGCGGAAGGAUCAUUACCACACCAAAUCCAUCCACAACCUCGUGAACUGUUUUGUUGAUGUGCAAACAUCGAAAUGUUAUUGUUAUUUGCGUACAUAUAGGGGGGUACGAUAUUAAAAUUGAAUCGUCCUAUGUAAUAAGCGGUAUCAAGACAUAUCUUUUAUAAAACCUUUAUUCUUAUAUCUGAAAUGAAAAGUAAUAUACAAACCUAUUACAACUUUCAGCAGUGGAUGUCUUGGCUCACA